rnacentral:rRNA from 1 species
UACGUAGGGGGCUAGCGUUGUCCGGAUUUAUUGGGCGUAAAGAGCGUGUAGGCGGCCAGGUAGGUCUGCUGUGAAAACUCGAGGCUUAACCUCGAGAUGUCGGCGGAAACCAUCUGGCUAGAGUCCGGAAGAGGAGAAUGGAAUUCCCGGUGUAGCGGUGAAAUGCGCAGAUAUCGGGAAGAACACCCGUGGCGAAGGCGGUUCUCUGGGACGGUACUGACGCUGAGACGCGAAAGCGUGGGGAGCGAACAGG